UUAUCAGACUUGUUACAAGGUUGUUCUGACAAGUCUGACACAAUCAUGAUAUAACAAGAAUGUUACAAGGUUGUAACAACACUGUUAUAUCAUAACUGUAUCGGACUUGGUGGAACAACCUUGCAACAAGUCUGAUAA